UCAGUUUCUUCAACUGAAAAAUGAGAAUCGCGUUCACCCACUCUGCCUGUCAGGACUCUGGUGAGAAUCCAGUUAGAUGGACUGUUACGAUGCCUGAGAGCAACGACUAUUUGGACAGUGUCUUGCUGUAUACCCACACGGUCUCACGUGUCCUUCCAGCAACCCCAUGAGGAGGAGCCUAAUCCCUUCUUGUUGAAUGUGGGCUGUACUUAGUGACUUACUUCUAAUGAAGAAAACAUGCCAGAAACGAUGGCCUGUGACUUCUGGACCUGGGCUAUAGAGCACACUGGCUUUUGUCCCCCCCUCCCCAAGCCCCGCCUCUUUGAUCACUUGAUCUGGGAGAAGCCUGUGGCUGUCAUGUCAUGAGGACAGUCAAGCAGCCCCAUGGAGAGGCCUGGAUGGUGAUGACCUGAGUCCUCCUGCCAACAGCCAUAUGAGUGCACCGUCUGGGAAGCAACCCUCCAGUCCCCAGUCAGGCUCCCAUAUGACUGCAGCUUUGGCUGACACUUAACUGUAUCGAGUGACCCUGAGCCAGAACCACCAGCUAAGAAGCUCCAGCAUUCAGGACCCACAGAAACUGCGAGCAAUGAAAGAAGCAAGAUCGUUGAACCAUGUCUACAGGCUAUUGAGGGAAACAGGCUGUGAAUCAAUAAUCCUAAGUCCAGCACGGGCAUCAUUCAUCUGGCAGCGUAAAAGGAAAACAUUUUCAAACAUACGAAGAGUCAGAAAAACUACCACACAUAGACUCCACCCAACGAAAAUAUUUUAUCAAAUCGAGAAUGAAAUUGGAAUAGAGAGCCUCAAGACAGAGAAGUGGGACAGUCCAGGAGACGGUGGUGAGCAGUGACUCUGACUACACACAUAAUUAAAACUAAAGGGAUGCUAAUAACAUGCCUGGGAUCUCUAGUACCAAGUGAGGAGGAUUCUUGAAACAGAUGAAACACACAAUUAGGCAAAACCUAAAAACAGACUGUAGCCUUAGAAAUUAUCUUGCUCCUUGUGAUUCUGUUUGUGAUUAGGUAAGAAUUGGUAUAAAACAUUUUGCCAGAUGCAAGCAUGAAUGUGGGCUGGCAAGAGAGGAAAUAAAAGCAAACAGUCUUUGUAUUAAAAUCAAAUACAGAACAACUGGAGAGUAGAUAAGUAACCAACUAGAUCUAACAGACAUACAGAGCACAUUCUACCCAAAGGCAGCAGCGUGCAUUCUUCUCAAGUGCAUGCGGGAUAUUUUCCAGGACAGAGCAUGUGAUAGAGCUACAAAUGAAGUCCCAAUAGAUUUUAAAUGAUAGAUACUAUACAAAGUAUCUUCUGUGACCACAGCAGGGUGAGUUAGAAAUCAGCAACAGAAGUAAAACUGGAAAAUUCUCACAUUUGUGGAAAUUAAACAACACUCUUAAACAACCAAUGGAUCAAAGAAGAAAUCACAAGGGAAAUUAGAAAAUACUUAGAGAUGAAUGAAAAAAAUGCAACGUAACAAAACUCAUCAGUCAAUUAUACCUCGAUUAAAAAAAUUAAAAUUUAAAUAAAAUACUUAGAUGCAGUGAAAGCAGUGCUAACGGGGCCAUUUAUAGCUAUACAUGUUUACAUAAAAAAACAAGAAAGAUCUCAAAUUAAAAGCCUAAUUUUAGAGUUUAAGAAAUAAGAAAAGGAACAAACUAAACCCAAAGCUCGUAGGAGGAAGGAAACAAUAAAGAUUAGAGUGAAGAUAAAUGAAAUAGGGAACAGAAAAAUAAUAAAGGUCAAUGAAACCAAAAGUUGGUUCUGUGACAAGAUCAACAAAGCUGACAAACCUUUAGCUGCACGGAACAGGGGGCAAAAGAGAGAAGACUCAGAGCACUAAGAUCGGAAAUGAAAGUGAGGACAUCACAACUGGUUUUACAGAAAUAAAAGAAAUUAUGUGUGUGUGUGUGUGUGUGUGUGAGACAGAGAGAGAGGAAAUGAAGUAUAAUAUUGAUAUCUAGAAAUGUUUGUAUGAGCAGUUUUGACCCCCAAAAGUUAACUGACCUUAGAUUACCAGUGUCAAUAUUUACAUACUACUUUGGAAUUCACCUUCCUCUAGUCAUUGGAAA